UCUCCAGGCUGCUUGGUACAAGAACGGCUUGACACGAAGCAGCUGAGGAGGACUCGCCGACACCCAAUCAGAGCAGAAUUAUCCAAAUAUUCCAGAUAGGAGCAGAGGUGUCUAAUCCGAGUCCUGUGCUCAUGGUCUUCUCUGACCCCCCUCCUGCUGCUGAUCACCUGCAUCAGGUGUGUGGUGGUGUAGUGGUCCGCACCAUUGUCUCACCAGUGGGAAGGUUCAAAUCAAAUCAGCUAAGUCCUUUGUGUGUGGAGUUUGUCUUUGUGAUGGUUUGGAGAACUGGUCAGGAUCUACCCCACCUUCAUUGGCACAGACUCCAGUAACCCUACUGACCAUGAACAGGACUAAGAGGGACGAUAGAUUUUCUUUUCCUGGUAUGAUCAUAUGUAUAAAAGAGUUGCAAUAAAACUAAAGCAGA